CGAAACCGAGCGGCGAGAGGGAGAAGAACGAGAACCGGAACAGAAGGAGACUCUACAGGGAUGUCCUGGCGAACACCGCUGCAAACCAGGCUAUGUUGGAGAACGUCUUCGAAAAGAGGUACGACGAAUUGGAGCAACAAGCUAUGGAACAGUACAGAGCCUCGGAGGAGUCGUUGGCGCUCAAGUAUCAAGAACUGGAGCGUCAAGCGAUGGAACAAUACAGACACUGCGGGAAUGGGCCGGGGGACGAUUCGGUUUCGCAGGACGAUGAACGGAUCGGAGCAGGUACUUCAGGAUUCACCGA